UACGGAGGGAGCUAGCGUUGUUCGGAAUUACUGGGCGUAAAGCGCGCGUAGGCGGCUUUGUAAGUUAGAGGUGAAAGCCCGGAGCUCAACUCCGGAACUGCCUUUAAGACUGCAUCGCUUGAAUCCAGGAGAGGUGAGUGGAAUUCCGAGUGUAGAGGUGAAAUUCGUAGAUAUUCGGAAGAACACCAGUGGCGAAGGCGGCUCACUGGACUGGUAUUGACGCUGAGGCGCGAAAGCGUGGGGAGCAAACAGG
rnacentral:rRNA from 1 species